AAUGGAGGCUAUUAUUAACAUUAUUAUUAUAGCAUGGACUCGAUUUGAUGAGAGAAAAGAAAGGAGAGAUGAAAGAGGGAAGGGAUGAAAGGAGGGAGAGAUGAGGAGAAAGGGAACAGAAAGACUAUCUGGACAUGGUACAAUAGUCCAGGUGCAAGUCCAGAGGCCCAGAUUAGGUGGGUGGCAGCAGAAAGAGAAGGACUCAGAGAGGCAGCCGUGAGGCAGCCCACCAGACCUCAGCAGCUGGCCGAACAGGGAGGAGACUUUCGUGAGAUUUAGGGGUGGAGUGCCUCAGGUAAGGUAGCCUUCUCCAUCCCUUCAUUUGUUGCACAUUGGCUGGGCACUUGGCAUGCACCAGGAGCUGUGCUGGGUUUGGGAUAUAAGAUCAACCAGAUACAAUCCUGCUUGCAAAUAGCACAUAGGUCUGGGAUACCUGCUCAUGAAGCAGGGGAGGAAGUCAGAGAACAGGGUGGGUUUGAACAGGCAGAAGAGUCCAGCUCUGGGCACGAUGAGACGUGGGGGUGGACUGGGAGCUUUGAACUUCCCCAGAGUUCUGAUUUUGACAGGUAAGGCCCAUGGAUGAAGAAAGAAGUUAGAGGGGAAAUGAAGAAGUGGAAGUGAAAGCCAGGAGAUUUGAAUGACAUGAAAAUCUCAGAUCUGAGAAGUAACACAGUAGAUAUUCAGAAACCAAAGAAAAGACCAAGCACAGAGGACACAGGCAUGGAGGGAACAUUUCUAACUUGAAGCUGUGGAGAUGAACUUAGAUACAAGACAGAAAGUGUUACUGUUUUCCUUGGGACUUUAAAGAGAGCCUACAUUAGUUCUAAGUAUGGAAAAACAAAGUGCAGCAAGAAAAUCCAUUAUCCCCAUUUGGGGGCAGGAGGCUAUCAGGAAGGGGAAUGAGAGGAGACAGGCUGUCAUCCUACACCCAGUGAAGAUCCAUGGCCAGCCAGUUCUUGCCCAUUUCACCCCCAGGACAGGAGCUCCCUUAGGGAACAGAUGGUGCCUUCGGGUGGAGAAACAGGCUUCUCUGUCUCCUGGUGAUGGGUGCAGCCACCCACCACAGGAACAGCUUGGUGAGAUGAGCACCAGUGGGUUUCAGCCCUGCUUCCAAUUCCUGCCAAGACCCUUGCACAGUGCACACUUACAAAACUUUCCAUGUUCUGAAAGAGGUCAUUUCAAGAUAUAAAGCACCACUCAAAGGCAACAGGUCCUUUUUAAAGUAGUGUCCAAGGUUCUGAUCUCAGCUUUCUCUCUCAGAAAGGUAUAUUUGACUACAAAGGUGAACUGAAGGUCCCAUGGCCUCAGGAAUAAAUAGUUUUAUGCUUUCAUUGCCUGUUUGCAGGCUUUAAGGUGCUGGAGCUACAAAGAGGUUCUUGAGGCAAGGACUAUGUCUUCUUCAUUUUAAUGUCCUGAGGACACUGACAGUAUCUAGCUCAGAAAAGUUCAUUGGAAGGAAUGAAGAGAGGUAAGAGGUGUAUGUGUGAGGAGAGUAUGCAUGUGUGUAUGUGUGUAUUAUAUACAGAGAAAUAAAUAAUGUUCAAUAAUAUUCAAAUUAAAGAUUUCUAGACUGGGUUCUCUUUAACAAAGAAACUCAUAUUUCUUAAUUAACUACAAUGAACUAAUCAGAAAAAUUUAUUGGGCAUUUCUUAUAUGUAGGGCAUGGUGCUAGGUAACGCGUAGGGUUUUAAAAACAGAGGAAACCCACUAAAUUCAUGAACUUGAGACUUGCAGGGUUUCAGAUAGUUACUAUGUACUCUGGUACACAAAAAUGAAUUACACCACCCCCUGCUGCCAGUGGCUCCCUCCGUCUCAGCCUUAUUUUUUGAUGGGUCUGAAGCCUGUCACAUUCUCCUUGUAUUAAAAAGGGGGAUUAAUAAUCAAUCAUCAAUCACAAAGCGUUAAGGAGAGAUUAGCAUCUGGUUGAAGGUUUCUUGCUGGUAAAAUCAAAAUGAGAAAGGAGAACCACUGGUGAAGAAUACAGAAUGGAAGCUCUACCAUCAGAAAGUAGGUUCCCAAGGUCAGGGACUUUUAAAACUUAUUUUUCACCAAUCUAACCACACCUCCUAGAAGAGCAGCUGGCCAAUUGAAGUUUCCCAAUAAAUAUGUUAAGUGAACAAAAUUAAUGUUUUAGAAUGAAAUGUGAGCCACUAUCAGGCAUUUGUACUUGCAAAAAAUAUUGGCCAAUUUACCUAUUUGUAUUCAUUUGUGCUCACUCAAGCAGAGGGGCCAGUAGAAGAUACACUCCCCAAUGCAAUAAUGAUCCGUAUCAACAGGGCUGCAUUGUUUAUUUACCAUGUGCCAGCCACAAUGCAAGCACUUUUUAAGCCUAGUUCCAUCGAAGGCUCCUGCUAACUGCAUGGUCAGCAACACAUUGUCAUUGCCACGUUUCAGCUGAUGGCAUGAAGCUCAGAGAGGUGAGAUGAUUUGCCCCAGAUACACAGCUAGAAAUCUGAUCUCAAAGCCCAAUAUGCAUACCUACACCACACAACCCACAGAGAGAAGCACCUAUCCAGUGGUAAAGAGAGGCAUCGAAAUUAAGAAUUGAUGUGCAGUAAUUCUCAUGUACACCUUUCCUCAGGCCAGGGAACAAAGCCACUAUUCCUAACCCAUCACGUGGACAUCUGCCUCCAGCCCCACCCAUUUUGCCUCAAUAAUAUGUGUAAACAACUCUGUGUUGCCUUUUCCACCCUACAUAUGCUCUGCAAGGCUCAGCAGGCCCUGAAAAAUCAGUGGCGAAGAAGUGGUCUUGAACCCUCAAGCCCAUCAUAAGGGCUCUGCUGACACCACAACAGGGAAAUGGACAUUUGAGGUCCUGCUGUGUCUUACCAGCUCUCUGCCCUGGUUCAUGUGACGACACCUAAGGAUUCUGACCAAAGUCCCCAAUGUGGCAGAGGUGUGAGAGGGAGGGGUACGGAGCUCAGCCCACACAGCUCGCCUUGGGUGGCCAGCCGGGCUGAGGGAGGGGCUGCGCAGCGUGUGAAACCGGAGGCCUGCACACCCUGCCGACACCCUGCACACACCCGCACACCCACACACAUGCAGACCCUCGGCCUAUCCAGCUCCAGACUGUGGGAAGAUGGCUCUCCUGGAAGCAAACGAGGAAGCCAAGAGCCAUAACAAGAAGCUUGCAGAAUUGUGAGCACUUCCUACUGAACACCGCCCGGGGCUGCCUCUUCCUCAGCACAAGCCAAUGGUCUUGGGAGGACAAACUCAGCAAUGAAGUUCUGGGUGCAGAAGUUGAAGAAGCACAGAUGUACAAACAGGAAGUGGAAGAAGGGGACCCACAGAUGGGGGGCCUGGUAACUGACGCCGUGACAGGGAGGAUUCGCUCCCAACUCUGAGUCCUUCUGGCACAUCUUAUAGCACAAGAGACUUUUCAAGGUGAAACAUGACUUGUCACAUUUGGGUUGGGUUUGUUUUCAGGGAGUAAUUUCUCUAAACUCAAUAUGUGCCCUUAAAGGCGAUUCAUCAAAAAUAAAAUAACCAAUGUAUCUUAUAAUAGACUGGCAUGGAGCACUUUAAAAAAGAAAUAGUAAAUGUUUUAAUAUGGAAUAAAAAAAACUGGAAGAAGAGAUUUACUUCAUGUGCUCAAGAAUGAAUCAUAUUUUUUUCUCCUUCAACUCUUCACCUCCACCCUUCCCCUCUCUCCCUCUUUCCUGGCAUUCCCUUUUGUAUCAGCUGUGAAGUGGCUGACUUCAAAUCGGGUACAAGUGGGAGGGAGGUGUAUCCAGAUAUAAGAAAAACCCAUGAAAACAUACAUUCCAAAAUACAAAUAGAUAAACAUAGCUCAUUAAUUGACCUGAAAAUUAAAUUCCACUGAUACAUAGCAUGAAUUUUGUUAUAUCAGGGGUGCAUUGUUAUACCAGGAUAUAUUUGGGGGCAUGUGUUUGCAGAAUGCCAUUUCUACUGACACAAUUUUGAGAAAGAGGAUCCAGAAAAACAUCCUGGAGUGGUCAGCCAUAAAACAGCACAGACCAUUCCAAUCUUCCAGCACUUUCCCCCGC